CGCGCAAAAAUAUAACGAAAUCUUUUUUAACCCAGAUUCCGCAAUAGAAGAAAUAAGAAUGAAUUUAAUUCAGGCUUUCAGCCCUCCGAACAAGGUCCGGAUGUCGAUAUACCCCACCCUUGCGGGAUGGGGCUGAAAUAAUUCGGGCUUUCAGCCCUCGUAAACCCCGCAGAGGCGGUGAGUUGUUGAAUUGUUGAGAUGUUUAUUUGUUUAGUUGUUGAUUUGUUGGCUCUGCUGAUUGCUGAAUGCUGACUGCUGAUUGCAGAAAGAGCCCUGAAAGGGCGAGAUAAUUCAGCCCAAUGCGAAGCGUUGGGGAAAAAGGCAUCGCAUCCCGGCGGAGGGCUGUAAGCCUGACGUAACCAUUGUCGUGCAUUCGUACGUCCAUGAUUAAUGGUAAACGCCGAACAGUGUAUCGCGUAAU
rnacentral:sRNA from 1 species